CAUUUUAUUAUGUUAUUCAAAAACUCUUGCUCCUUCCCACUUGACGAACACCAUAUCUGAGCUUCUCCCCCUAUAAAUUGACAUUAUCAACAUCCUUUUGUUUUCACCGCCAGACAUCUUGUUUCCUCUCGCCAAAGAACCCUUCUCCUGCUCUGCGCAAGUUCUGUUGUGAACUGUGAUGGAUAUGCCUUGCUAUGAACCUUCUUGGCGGAUAAAGUUUUGUCGGUGCUUUAGUUGGGUUAUUCUUAGCUCAUUCUGUAGAUUAUUAAAUGAUUUGUGUGCCGUGGAUUUUGAUUACAGUUUCAACUUGAAUCGAGUUCGCCAGCGGCUACUUGAAUCUUUGUCAUCAGCCGUGCCCUUUUCUGAGAAGAGUAGGUUCCCUGAUGAUGUUUACGUCUGUGUCCACAGACCGCAGUUGUUUGCGCAAGUGACCGAAGUGAUACGGUUGCUUGCGACCCCAAUGUUAACUGUGACAGACAUUAAAGACUAUUUUUCUGCGAUAAAUCGCAUGCUUGAGCUGAUUCAUAAUACCGGAGGGGACGGAGCUGAUCGUGUAGUCUUUUGUAAAGAAACUUUUGAGGCUGAGUUUCAGUUGAAAUGGUUGAGUUCAUGAUUAUAAACUUGUAGUGUUGUUGAAGAUGGUCUACUAUAUAUGUUAUCUUUUGGAA